rnacentral:rRNA from 1 species
AUGAACGCUGGCGGCGUGCCUAAUACAUGCAAGUCGAGCGAACGGACGAGAAGCUUGCUUCUCUGAUGUUAGCGGCGGACGGGUGAGUAACACGUGGAUAACCUACCUAUAAGACUGGGGUAACUUCGGGAAACCGUAGCUAAUACCGGAUAAUAUUUUGAACCGCAUGGUUCAAAAGUGAAAGACGGUCUUGCUGUCACUUAUAGAUGGAUCCGCGCUGCAUUAGCUAGUUGGUAAGGUAACGGCUUACCAAGGCAACGAUGCAUAGCCGACCUGAGAGGGUGAUCGGCCACACUGGAACUGAGACACGGUCCAGACUCCUACGGGAGGCAGCAGUAGGGAAUCUUCCGCAAUGGGCGAAAGCCUGACGGAGCAACGACGCGUGAGUGAUGAAGGUCUUCGGAUCGUAAAACUCUGUUAUUAGGGAAGAACAUAUGUGUAAGUAACUGUGCACAUCUUGACGGUACCUAAUCAGAAAGCCACGGCUAACUACGUG